rnacentral:rRNA from 1 species
CUACGUGCCAGCAGCCGCGGUAAUACGGAAGGUCCAGGCGUUAUCCGGAUUUAUUGGGUUUAAAGGGAGCGUAGGCUGGAGAUUAAGUGUGUUGUGAAAUGUAGACGCUCAACGUCUGAAUUGCAGCGCAUACUGGUUUCCUUGAGUACGCACAACGUUGGCGGAAUUCGUCGUGUAGCGGUGAAAUGCUUAGAUAUGACGAAGAACUCCGAUUGCGAAGGCAGCUGACGGGAGCGCAACUGACGCUUAAGCUCGAAGGUGCGGGUAUCGAACAGGAUUAGAUACCCUGGUAGUCCGCACAGUAAACGAUGGAUGCCCGCUGUUGGUACCUGGUAUCAGCGGCUAAGCGAAAGCAUUAAGCAUCCCACCUGGGGAGUACGCCGGCAACGGUGAAACUCAAAGGAAUUGACGGGGGCCCGCACAAGCGGAGGAACAUGUGGUUUAAUUCGAUGAUACGCGAGGAACCUUACCCGGGCUUGAA